rnacentral:misc_RNA from 1 species
GAUGAAGAACGUAGCGAAAUGAGAUACGUAAUGUGAAUUGCAAAUUCAGUGAAUCAUCGAGUCUUUGAACGCACAUUGCGCCCCCUGGUAUUCCGGGGGGCAUGCCUGUCCGAGCGUCAUUGCUGCCCUCAAGCACGGCUUGUGUGUUGGGCCCCGUCCUCCGAUCCCGGGGGACGGGCCCGAAAGGCAGCGGCGGCACCGCGUCCGGUCCUCGAGCGUAUGGGGCUUUGUCACCCGCUCUGUAGGCCCGGCCGGCGCUUGCCGAUCAACCCAAAUUUUUUAUCCAGGUUGACCUCGGAUCAGGUAGGGAUACCCGCUGAACUUAAGCAUAUCAAUAAGCGGAGGA